rnacentral:rRNA from 1 species
UACGUAGGGGUCCGAGCGUUGUCCGGAAUUAUUGGGCGUAAAGGGCUCGUAGGCGGUCUGUUGCGUCGGGAGUGAAAACUUACAGCUUAACUGUGAGCGUGCUUUCGAUACGGGCAGACUUGAGGCAUUCAGGGGAGAACGGAAUUCCUGGUGUAGCGGUGAAAUGCGCAGAUAUCAGGAGGAACACCGGUGGCGAAGGCGGCAUCCUGGACCAAUUCUGACGCUGAGGAGCGAAAGCCAGGGGAGCAAACGGG